GUGGAAAAUCAUGUUCCAUAUGAUUAAUUAUUUCAUUGUAAUUUCUCCGAUAUUAUCUGGAGACUCCACGUACACAGCCAGGUUUAAGCAGGUGUGUCCGUAUCUUACGUGCCAUGGCAGCAGAUUGUCGCUGGUUAUCGGAACCCGCCCUCUGUGCUCUACUCCCGUCCUUUGGAUUCUGACAGCACAGUAUCGGCGAUUUUCAGAGGGAUGGCCAGAGCUGUUAACCUGAAGAGGCCCCAUUACUGCCUGGCAGGAUGCCUUACUUAAGUUACAUACUCCAGACCUAAGCAGAUGUGCUUUAGAGAAGGUCGGUCGAUUUGUGUGUGGGGGUGUGUGUGGGGGGUGGGGGGGCUGGGGCGCGUUGGCGGGGUGGUUGCUGGGAAGAUUGAGCAAGCAGCCUGCCGCCAUAAAACUGUCAGGAGGCAGCCCCUCGGAUCACAGGCAGGGAGGAGAAGUUCUCUCUCGGAUCCCCUCUGACCUCCCGGCUGUGUCCUGGCACUGGCAACGCUCGGCCGCUCCCCACGCCGCCAGCAGACACUGCUCCGCUGGAGGGAACAUCAUCGCUCAUUUUCCGACUGUGUUGUCAUCAGAGGGACACGGAAACGGGUCAAAUGCGGCGAAAGUUUGUCUCCAAUGAAACCGCGUUCAAAAAACGUAAGGCCUGCACGCAGCUUCAUUCCUGGGAAAACCGCCACUGUGAGACAAAGCCCAAUUACAGAUUAAACAUACAAAUAUACUGCAAUAUAUAUGUAAAUGUAUGGACUUUUUGGGAAAUAGAAAUACAUUUCUUACAUUAUAUAUAUCAUUUCAUAUAUUUGUCUAUGUAUUUUUAAGUGUUUCAAUAGCUUGAUUAAAUAUAUUUAAUUUCA